rnacentral:tRNA from 1 species
UCCCUGAUGGUCUACUGGCUAGAACUUGGCGCUUUCACUGCUGUGGUCCAGGUUUGAUCCCUGGUCUAGGAA